CGGACGCUAGCUUCACACACAUAGGAAAUAUUCUGUAUAACAGGCUUUAAAAAACUCUUAAGAGUAAGGCACACAUCCGCUUUUCUUUUAGGCAUUUUAGCUAUACCAGCAAUGAUAAAUAACAUUGUUAAGAAAGAACGCGUCAAAAAAAUAAGAAAAUAUAGUAAACUCAAUAAAACGCAUUCAAAAAGUUUGGUUAUGUUUAUUAUUUACUUUUUUAUCUUCUAUCAGCAUUCGGCUUGCGAUCGCGAGACAGGCUACAUUAUAUUUUUGGAGGCUGUGUUUCGAUCUUGUCCUACUAAUUUAUUUUCUGUUUCUGCGCGUGUAAAAGCCACAAACCAUAAAGCCGACACAAGACAAAGCUAUAGUCACAAGCUAAACAGAACGAGCAAAGUUGUAAUAUAAGAAGAUAUUUCGGAGAUUCCUGCAUGGUCCAGAGCCAGACAAAGAAGGAGUCUCCCCCAAAUCGGGCUGGCCAUUGCCUUGCAGCAAAGCCAUCAACAAAACAAGACAAGACAAGACAAUCUUCUA